CAAAAGCGUCAAACAAUCAAACUUUUCUUGUAUUGUAAACAUUUAACUUCUGAGAAACAAUUGAAAAGCAAGUAUUAAACACGAAACCCAUUAUAUUUUCAUUGCAUUCUGUUAAAUAGACCGAUAAUGUUAUAUUUCCGAUUUACACUGAUAUGUGUUAUAAUUAGUUUUACCCACGGAUAUGAUAAUGACAAGAAAUCUAGACACGUACGACAUGUAGAAACACUAACUGAGUCAAAUCUUUCUCACAUUUUAAAUACGAUUGCGAAGAAUUAUCCCGAAUUAAAGAAAACUGGCGAGAAGCAAUCCAUCGAAAAGAUCAAGGAACAGCUUAGAGUAAAAUUAAGAGAAUAUGUGAAGAGAAGAAAGAAUAAUAUAAAACGGAGAAGAAAAAUCAAUACAAAUUCAAACUUAUAAAAUAUUGCACGAAUUAUUUCUUCCCGGAAUUAAUAAAUUUCUUUAAACGA